GUCCUCGUAGCUCAGUUGGAUAGAGCGUUGGCUUGCGGAGCCAAAGGCCACAGGUUCGAAUCCUGUCGGGGACACCA
rnacentral:tRNA from 1 species